GACAGAGGUGGCAAGCGUUGCUAGGAUUCACUGGGCUUAAAGGGCGCGUAGGUGGUCUUGUAAGUCAAAGGUGGAAUUCCACAGCUUAACUGUGGAACUGCCUUUGAUACUGCAAGGCUUGAGUCAGGUAGAGGAGGGCGGAAUUCCCGGUGUAGCGGUGAAAUGCGUAGAUAUCGGGAGGAAGGCCGGUGGCGAAGGCGGCCCUCUGGGCCUGUACUGACACUGAGGCUCGAAAGCGUGGGUAGCAAACAGG
rnacentral:rRNA from 1 species